AAUGAUAUUGGCAGGUGAUUAACCUGGUCCAAAAGGUACAAAAGACAUUGGCAGAGGAUUAACCUGGUCCAAAAGGUAUUCAAAGGUAUUGGCAGGGUAUUAACCUGGCGACUUCAAAAGGUAUGUGAAGACCGAACUGAAGGAAUAUGACCAAACAAGACUACAUGUGACCUCUCUGGUUCAGACACAUUGGAGACGACAGUUUUGUGAGAUACAAAUGAAAUAAGACACAAGGCAAUUAAUGCAAUCAUGUAUAGAUGGUAUUUGUAUGCAAGUUAUAUGUGCAAGAAUGUUUAUAUGCAUGAAUAUGUAUAUAUGAAAUGAAUGAAUGUAUGAGUACAUGAAUAUAUGACUGUAUGAAUGUAUGAUUUAGACGACUCUAUACAACAAGUGAAGCUGACAAGACUAGACAAGUAA
rnacentral:lncRNA from 1 species